GCCUGGGCGGCUCAGUCGGUUGGGCAUCUGACUUCGACUCAGGUCACGAUCUCACGGCUGGUGGGUUCAAGCCCCACAUCAGGCU
rnacentral:tRNA from 1 species